AGCCAUGCGGUGAGCGCAGAGCGAACUAUUCUUUUACCUUUUACUAAAGAAUACCGUGUGCUCGCCGCAUUUAGUGGCAUACGCAUAUAUUUGGAGGAAACCUCUACGGGAAACU
rnacentral:snRNA from 1 species